UUUUAGGGAUGGUGCUGGUGGGGUAUUUUUUUGUUGGUGAUGGUUUUUGGUUUGGGUUUUUUUGGGGUGGAGGUGUAUGUGUUUGGGUUUUUUGUUGCUGUUGUUUUGUUUCUAACCCUAUGUGUUACUUUGGGUUUCAUGUAUCUUGGUGGAUUGUUUACUAAAAUGUGGGAGAGAAAAAAAAAAAAAGAGCAUGUGGAAGAACUGUGUCCAUACAGGAAUAUGGUUGGAAAGAAAGGUACAACAAACCGGUUUCUGAUUCUUGUCUUUGAGGCGUUGGAUGGUGCCUUUCAGUGUCACUUUUGAUGGCUAACAGUUCUUCCUAGCAACUUCUGGGAUACAAAAGCCUCCUGCAGACUACCACCUAUGAGCAACUACAGCAGCAGAGUAUUUAUGCCUGUUAAACCAGAAGUUCUGCCUGUUGUUUUUCCUGCCUUCAUAACUUUCCACUGCUAUAGUCCAGCUAUGUUAUACCAGGACAUUAAACAUUCUGCAAACAGAA